rnacentral:lncRNA from 1 species
AUGCAGAAACAACAUUUGAUUCCCACACUACAUAUCACCAUUACCUGGGCCACCUCUCCCUCUGCCAAAACACAACCCGCCUCUCACAGCAGCCGGUUGUGUCACCCGGCACAGCUGUGUCCUUGUCACAGUUGUGUCACCCAGCACAGCUGUGUCAUCAUCACAGCCCGGUCUGCUUGUGUCACCCAUGAUGGUUGUGGCUCCUGUUGUAGCACCCAGCCCAGCCGUGUCACCGUCACAGCCGCAGGCUGGUUGUGUCACCCAGCACAGUUGUGUCGCUGUCACCAUGAUGUCACCCAUCACAGCUGUGUUACCGUCACAGCUGCAGGUCGGUUGUGUCACCCGGCACAUCUGUGUCACCCAUCAACAGCUCUGUCAACCAUCAGAGCUCUGUCACUCAUCACAGCUGUGUCACCCAUCAGAGCUGUGUCAACCAUCACAGCUCUGUCAACCAUCACAGCUGUGUCAACCAUCAGAGCUCUGUCAACCAUCACAGCUCUGUCACCCAUCACAGCUGUGUCACCCAUCACAGCUGUGUCACCCAUCACAGCUGUGUCACCCAUCAGAGUUCUGUCACCUAUCAUAGCUGUGUUCCCAUCACAGCUCCAUCACCCAUCACAGCUGUGUCAUCCAUCCAUCAGAGCUCUGUCAACCAUCACAGUUGUGUCACCCAUCACAGCUGUGUUACCCCUCUAUCACAGCUGUGUCACCCAUCACAGCUGUGUCACCUCUCACAGCUGUGUUCCCAUCAGAGCUCUAUCACCCAUCACAACUCUGUCACCCAUCCAUUACAGCUGUGUCACCCAUCACAGCUGUGUCACCCAUCCAUCACAGUUCUGUCACCCAUCACAGCUCUGUCACCUCUCACAGCUGUGUUCCCAUCAGAGCUCUAUCACCCAUCACAGCUGUGUCACCCAUCCAUCAGAGCUCCGUCACCCAUCACAGCUCCAUCACCCAUCACAGCUGUGUCACCCAUCAGAACCCUGUCACCCAUCACAGCUGUGUCACCCUGUUGGAAAUAUCCAAAUAAUUUUUAUCAGGACGGUAUCUCUGAUAGCAGCAGAUUUUAUUCACGAUUGCACUGGCAGGCAUCCCGCAAGCAGGAGAGCACCUUAUGGACACAACAUGACAGUUUUUACACCUCGUUUCCCCCCCCUCCCCUGUUUCCCCACUGGCUGGGCACUCCAGGUUCACAAUCUUAACAGAAGGCUUACAUUUGUUAAUUACUUGUUAAUUUGUUUGUUAUCUGGUGUCAGUCCCUCAUCUCCAAGAUGUCCCAACACUCUUCUUGUUCAUAUUCAUAUGGUGAUUUUCUUCGGAGUCUUUGUUAAACAAAGAGCAGGGAGGGAAGUGCCCCCAUCUUCCUCAAUACCUUCCUCAGGCACUCCCUGA